rnacentral:lncRNA from 1 species
UAGCCAGCCACUCCAGCUCCCCUUAAGGGCCCCUGCUGGAAUGAGGCCCACACAGUUGGACACCAGUUGGACACCCUGGUCUGGAAUCUGCCUCGGCCUGAAGUACCUCCUUCCCAACUGUGGAAUGGGGAUGUUGGUGUCAGCGGAAUCGUCGGGUGUUUGUGGCCCACUUAACUGUGAGCUCCAGUUGACAGCUGCAUGACUUUGAUGCCGACCCUCGGGAUUACUAGAUGUGUUAUAAUUAACUCUGCUGGGAGGGUGUGGACUCUGGGGUCAGCCAGGAUGCCUGAGGUUGCCUGAUUAAGAACAAGAGCUACCCCAAGCCUUGAGUCCAACUGUGACCAUAAAAGGCUUUCUUCAGCCACUUUAUUUAAAGACUGACACCAGCUAGCAUAGUCAUCUGGUAGCCUUGGGAGCCCCCUGAGGUAAAUCUGACAUAUUCUGUUCCUCACUCCUGUUCUGUACCUGUCAAAAUUCUGUAGGGGGCGGGGUGGGGGUGGGGGAGGCUGAAGAGAUGGCUCAGAGAUUAAGAGCACUGGCUGCUCUUCCAGAGGUCCUGAGUUCAAUUCCCAGCAACCACAUGGUGGCUCAUAAUCAUCU